rnacentral:lncRNA from 1 species
GAGGUUGUCCCGAAAGUGAGGGGUGAGGUUGUCCCGAAAGUGAGGGGUGAGGUUGUCCCGAAAGUGAGGGGUGAGGUUGUCCCGAAAGUGAGGGGUGAGGUUGUCCCGAAAGUGAGGGGUGAGGUUGUCCCGAAAGUGAGGGUGAGGUUGUCCCGAAAGUGAGGGUGAGGUUGUCCCGAAAGUGAGGGUGAGGUUGUCCCGAAAGUGAGGGUGAGGUUGUCCCGAAAGUGAGGGUGAGGUUGUCCCGAAAGUGAGGGUGAGGUUGUCCCGAAAGUGAGGGUGAGGUUGUCCCGAAAGUGAGGGUGAGGUUGUCCCGAAAGUGAGGGUGAGGUUGUCCCGAAAGUGAGGGUGAGGUUGUCCCGAAAGUGAGGGUGAGGUUGUCCCGAAAGUGAGGGUGAGGUUGUCCCGAAAGUGAGGGUGAGGUUGUCCCGAAAGUGAGAGGUGAGGUUGUCCCGAAAGUGAGGGUGAGGUUUUCCCGAAAGUGAGGGUGAGGUUGUCCCGAAAGUGAGGGUGAGGUUGUCCCGAAAGUGAGGGUGAGGUUGUCCCGAAAGUGAGGGUGAGGUUGUCCCGAAAGUGAGGGUGAGGUUGUCCCGAAAGUGAGGGUGAGGUUGUCCCGAAAGUGAGGGGUGAGGUUGUCCUGAAAGUGAGGGUGUUGUAUUGCUCAAGUUUGAGAUAGCUGGUUGUGGUACUGGGGACAUUUGCAAAUUCUGCUUAUGGCUUUGCUGCUAUAUACACUUAUAAAUAUUGAAAGCUUAAAUAUAUUGAUUCAUUAAGUAUCCAUUGUUGACAUGGCCAUAAACAAAUGAGUUGAUAGCAGCUCAUGUUUGUAAUAUUGGGGCAAGUUUUGAAACAUACUCAACAUGCAGUAAUGUAAUUAAGGAAAUGGCCGAUUUGUUAAUGAUGCCGUGGCAGCUUAAUGUGUAUCUUGGGUACUCGACCCUCUUCUUGGUCACUGCAGUGGGAUUUUUUAUUUUGUUUUAGUCGAACUUUAAACGUUGAUGACUAAUAAAUAAUAUUGCUACUGUAGUACAGUAUUAAUACUGAAAAUAUCUGAUUGCCGUAUUAUGUAUGAACAGUGUGAUCACAAAAUAUUGGUGAAGAAUAAUUGAAACAAAUAUGUGGUGAAACAGCUCACGUAGUUCCACAGAGGUUUCACAGGUUGAUGACAAUAAUGAGUACUGUAUAUUGGAAGUGAAGCAGAGAUAAUAAGGCAGAAGGACAUUCUUGAAGCAUUCUUGUUGUUUGUGGAUGCUUUACAUGUUUAUAAUUAAAUGAAGAAAUAUAGUUUUAGGAAAAGAUUUAAAAACUAUUUCAGCUUACUAUACCUGUGUCUCUUCCUGUAGCAGAAAGUAGUGAAGAGCACACAUUUGGAAAGGUUGUGGUAAUACUGAAUGUUAUAUCAAUAAAAUUUUGUAAUGCUGCAUUUGGUCAUAUUCUACUGAAUGCUAAUCACAGUAUUUUAACGGUGAAAAAUCAAUACUGUAGUUUUAUAUUUAUGUGUUGGUGACUUGAUAAGAAUGAAGCCGAUUAUGUCCUUGGAAAUUAUAUCUAGUACUAGUCAUGUAGUACACUCUUGUCACAUUUUCUGACACAUUGGGAGAUUUUGAUUUAAAAAUUCCACAUCAAGUACAGUACUGUACUGUACUUAAUAUAAAUUUCUAGGCACUAUGAAGAUGUAAGUCACUAUUUUCAGAAUUGGGAAUAUUGUAAUUCAAUUAUUUUCCUAUUGAGUAAACAUGUAUAUGUCCCCAGAAUGCACAUAUUUGUACAGUUUGUAUUAAAUAUUCAUAUCAAA